GCUUGUCUCAAAGAUUAAGCCAUGCAUGUCUAAGUGUAAAUAAGUCUAUACUGUGAAACUGCGAAUGGCUCAUUAAAUCAGUUAUCGUUUAUUUGAUGAUCUCUUACUACUUGGAUAACCGUAGUAAUUCUAGAGCUAAUACAUGCACAAAAUCCCGACUUACGAAGGGAUGUAUUUAUUAGAUACAAACCAACAUCGUGGUGAUUCAUAAUAACUUUGCGAAUCGUUUUCGGACGAUGAUUCAUUCAAAUUUCUGCCCUAUCAGCUUUUGAUGGUAGGGUAUUGGCCUACCAUGGCGUUAACGGGUAACGGAGAAUUAGGGUUCGAUUCCGGAGAGGGAGCCUGAGAAAUGGCUACCACAUCCAAGGAAGGCAGCAGG
rnacentral:rRNA from 1 species